CACGGACCCACCAGAACCCAGCUGUGUGUCCAUGAAGAGUGACUGGUCAAUGGAACCUCCACGUAACUUUAGUGGACACACUGUUACAUCAUCCGAUAAGGCCGAUGGUUACAACACUAAUCUUGGGUUUAGCACGGACCCACCAGAACCCAGCUGUGUGUCCAUGAAGAGUGACUGGUCAAUGGAACCUCCACGUAACUUUAGUGGACACACUGUAACAUCAUCCGAUAAGGCCGAUUGUUACAACACUAAUCUUGGGUUUAGCAAAAUGGUACAAGAGGCAACUUCAAGAGUACUUCACGAGGAAAACUCUGAACCCCCAUACAGUAUAUUUUCUGUCACAUGGCCUUCUGCCUUACAUAUGUACAGUAUCUAA
rnacentral:lncRNA from 1 species